UGGUGGAUGCGCUGCAAGAUUUAUGGAUGAACAAUGUACCGUCUAAAGUGAACAUAUUUGGAUGGAGAUUGCUAUUAGCACGACUUCCCACCCGUAUGGCUUUGGUAAGAAAAGGAAUUAUCAAUAAUUCACGUGAGUUUUGUUGCGUGUUUUGCUUUAGAGAAGAAGAAAACAUAGAUCAUUUAUUUUUUAAUUGCUCUGUCUCAAUUUAAGUUUGGAAGAAAAUUUAUAAGUGGAUGGUUGUGGAUUUCAUCCCCUUUGAGGAAGGGUGGAAGCACUUCAUAUCUUUUGGUGAUUUGGUGAAGAGUAAGAGACUUGCUAAAACUCGUCAUGUCAUUUGGUUAGCAACUACUUGGAGCAUAUGACGUACUCGGAAUAAUAUUGUGUUUCGAGGAGAUGUGUUUAAUUUGGAUGCUUUGAUAGAUCAAAUUAUCUUUAUUUCUUGGUUUUGGUUUAUAGGUCGGUUGAGAGUUAAUACUN
rnacentral:lncRNA from 1 species